AUGGCCGCCACCGCCGCAUGCCGGACCGUUGAGGGGAGAUGGAAUCUUGCCGGCUCCACGGCGCUCGUUACCGGCGGCAGCAAAGGGAUCGGGCAUGCGAUCGUGGAGGAGCUGGCCGGGCUCGGGGCUCGGGUGCACACGUGCUCCCGGAGCGCGGCGGAGCUGGAGGAGUGCCGGCGGCAGUGGGAGGGCAAGAACCUCCGGGUCACCGUCUCCGUCUGCGACGUGUCCGUGCGCGCCGAGAGGGAGAAGCUCAUGGAUACGGUGAAGCGAACCCUGGGCGGCAAGCUGGACAUCCUGGUGAACAACGCGGGGCAGUCCAUGGUGAAGGCGGCGACGGAGUGCACCGGCGAGGACUACGCGCUGGUGAUGGCCACCAACAUCGAGUCGUGCUUCCACCUCGCGCAGCUGGCGCACCCGCUCCUCCUCCGCUCGGCCGGUGGAGGGGCGAGCAGCGUCGUCCACAUCUCCUCCAUCGCCGGCUUCGUCGGCUUCCCGGGCCUCGCCGUCUACUCCAUGACCAAGGGGGCGAUGAACCAGCUCACUCGGAGCCUUGCCGCCGAGUGGGCCGGCGACGGCAUACGCGUCAACUGCGUCGCGCCGGGCGGCAUCAACACUGACAUCGCCAAAGACAUGAUAACGAGGGACCCGGAGAUUGUGAAGAGCCAGGCCACGCAGCUGCCGAUGCAGCGGCUGGGCGAGACGGAGGAGGUGGCAUCGGUGGUGGCCUUCCUCUGCAUGCCAGCGGCGUCCUACAUCACCGGCCAAGUCAUCUGCGUCGACGGCGGACGCACCAUAGCUUAA
rnacentral:rRNA from 1 species